rnacentral:rRNA from 1 species
UGGGGAAUUUUGCGCAAUGGGCAAACGCCUGACGCAGCAACGCCGCGUGGAGGAUGAAGGUCUUUGGAUUGUAAACUCCUGUCAGCGGGGAAAAAGGGACUCGGGUUAAUACCUCGGGAACUUGAUUGUACCCGCAGAGGAAGCCCCGGCUAACUCUGUGCCAGCAGCCGCGGUAAUACAGAGGGGGCGAGCGUUAUUCGGAAUUAUUGGGCGUAAAGGGCGCGUAGGCGGCCUUUCAAGUGACGGGUGAAAUCCCUCGGCUUAACCGAGGAACUGCCUGUCAGACUGGAAGGCUUGAGACCGGGAGAGGUGAGUGGAAUUCCCAGUGUAGCGGUGAAAUGCGUAGAUAUUGGGAGGAACACCAGUGGCGAAGGCGGCUCACUGGACCGGUACUGACGCUGAGGCGCGAAAGCGUGGGGAGCAAACAG